rnacentral:rRNA from 1 species
AUUGAACGCUGGCGGAAUGCUUUACACAUGCAAGUCGAGCGGCAGCACGGGGGCAACCCUGGUGGCGAGCGGCGAACGGGUGAGUAAUACAUCGGAACAUGCCCAGUCGUGGGGGAUAACACUUCGAAAGAAGUGCUAAUACCGCAUACGUCCUGAGGGAGAAAGCGGGGGAUCUUCGGACCUCGCGCGAUUGGAGUGGCCGAUGUCAGAUUAGCUAGUUGGUGGGGUAAAGGCCUACCAAGGCAACGAUCUGUAGCUGGUCUGAGAGGAUGAUCGGCCACACUGGGACUGAGACACGGCCCCGACUCCUACGGGAGGCAGCAGUGGGGAAUUUUGGACAAUGGGGGCAACCCUGAUCCAGCCAUUCCGCGUGAGUGAAGAAGGCCUUCGGGUUGUAAAGCUCUUUCGGCAGGAACGAAACGGCGAGCUCUAACAUAGCUUGCUAAUGACGGUACCUGAAGAAGAAGCACCGGCUAACUACGUGCCAGCAGCCGCAGUAAUAC